CCUUGACAUGCAGAGAACUUUCCAGAGAUGGAUUGGUGCCUUCGGGAACUCUGACACAGGUGCUGCAUGGCUGUCGUCAGCUCGUGUCGUGAGAUGUUGGGUUAAGUCCCGUAACGAGCGCAACCCUUGUCCUUAGUUACCAGCACGUUAUGGUGGGCACUCUAAGGAGACUGCCGGUGACAAACCGGAGGAAGGUGGGGGAUGACGUCAAGUCAUCAUGGCCCUUACGGCCUGGGCUACACACGUGCUACAAUGGUCGGUACAAAGGGUUGCCAAGCCGCGAGGUGGAGCUAAUCCCAUAAAACCGAUCGUAGUCCGGAUCGCAGUCUGCAACUCGACUGCGUGAAGUCGGAAUCGCUAGUAAUCGUGAAUCAGAAUGUCACGGUGAAUACGUUCCCGGGCCUC
rnacentral:rRNA from 1 species